CCGGCUCAAAAGAACGAUUCGUUCAAGAAACUAACAUCACUAUUCUCAUUACAUAAAACAAAAAUGCAGCACUUUAGGACACAAAGAACAAAAAAGAGCUUGGGAAUACGAAAUAUUUAAUGUAACAAUGGAAACCAAACCUGUGUUGUUUGGCAUAUGGAGGUCUUAAGUUCACCACAGGUGCACGUGCUGCGUCUGAGCCACUACUGCAGAUUUUCCCUGUGAAAACAUUAUCGGCCGUCUCGCCUGUUCUGUUGACUCGCGGGGAGCGGCAGUGGUCAAAGGUGUGGUUAACGGCUUAGCUCGUCAUCCCAAGCGCUUGGUCACACACUCCUCAAAGUGGCAUCGCCUGAAGGGCACUGAUAACACACAUUCUGCACUUCUAUUGGUUGAUGUCCAGAAAACCAGCAAUCUCACAUGGAAGAAUCUGUACAUUAGAGGAAAGCUGUCAGGUAUUGAGGGGAGAAGAGGGGGGCUGCCCGCUGCUGCGCCGCCGUUUGCCACGACAC
rnacentral:lncRNA from 1 species